UACGUAGGGACCGAGCGUUGUCCGGAAUCAUUGGGCGUAAAGAGCGUGUGAGGCCGCUAUUACGUCGCGUGAAAUCUUGCGGCUCAACCGCAAGCGGUCGUGGGAAACUGGGUGGCUAGAGUGCGGGAGAGGAGAGUGGAAUUCCUGGUGUAGCGGUGGAAUGCGCAGAUAUCAGGAAGAACACCCGUGGCGAAGGCGGCUCUCUGGAACGCAACUGGACGCUGAGACGCGAAAAGCGUGGGGGAGCAAAACAGGG
rnacentral:rRNA from 1 species